UCCAGUGAGCCCACUUACUGAGUGCCUGUC
rnacentral:piRNA from 1 species